GUCCCCAUCGUCUAAGGCCUAGGACAUCGCCCUUUCACGGCGGUAACGGGGGUUCGAAUCCCCUGGGGACGCCA
rnacentral:tRNA from 2 species